rnacentral:rRNA from 1 species
UACGUAGGGGGCAAGCGUUGUCCGGAAUUAUUGGGCGUAAAGAGCGCGUAGGCGGUCCGAUAAGUCGGCUGUGAAAGUCAGGGGCUCAACCCUUGAAAGCCGGCCGAUACUGUCGGACUAGAGUCCGGAAGAGGCAAGUGGAAUUCCCGGUGUAGCAGUGAAAUGCGCAGAUAUCAGGAGGAACACCGGUGGCGAAGGCGGGUCUCUGGGCCGAUACUGACGCUGAGGAGCGAAAGCGUGGGGAGCGAACAGG